rnacentral:rRNA from 1 species
GAUGAACGCUGGCGGCGUGCCUAAUACAUGCAAGUCGAGCGAACUUUUGGGAGCUUGCUCCCACAAGUUAGCGCCGGACGGGUGAGUAACACGUGGGGAAACUGCCUGUAAGACUCGGAUAACACUGGGAGACCCGAGAUAAUAUCGGAUAACAUUUAAGAACACAUAUCCUUCAACUAAAAGGUAGCUUUUAGCUACCACUUACAGAUGGAUCCGCGGCGCAUUAGCUAGUUGGUGAGGUAACGGCUCACCAAGGCGACGAUGCGUAGCCGACCUGAGAGGGUGGUCGGCCAAACUUGGACUGGGGAACGGCUCAGACUCCUACGGGAGGGAGCAGUAGGGAAUCUUCCGCAAUGGAGGAAAGUCUGACGGGGCAACGCCGCGUGAGCGAAGAAGGCCUUCGGGUCGGAAAGCUCUGUUGUUAGGGAAGAACAAAUAGCGUUCGAAUAGGGCGGUACCUUGACGGUACCUAACCAGAAAGCCACGGCUAACUACGUG